GAUGAAGAACGCAGCGAAAUGCGAUAAGUAAUGUGAAUUGCAGAGUUCAGUGAAUCAUCGAAUCUUUGAACGCACAUUGCGCCCCUUGGUAUUCCAUGGGGCAUGCCUGUUCGAGCGUCAUUUGUACCUUCAAGCUCUGCUUGGUGUUGGGUGUUUGUCUCGCCUCUGCGUGUAGACUCGCCUCAAAACAAUUGGCAGCCGGCGUAUUGAUUUCGGAGCGCAGUACAUCUCGCGCUUUGCACUCAUAACGACGACGUCCAAAAGUACAUUUUUACACUCUUGACCUCGGAUCAGGUAGGGAUACCCGCUGAACUUAAGCAUAUCAAUAAGCGGAGGA
rnacentral:misc_RNA from 1 species